AAUCUUCCGCAAUGGACGCAAGUCUGACGGAGCAACGCCGCGUGGGUGAUGAAGGUUUUCGGAUCGUAAAACUCUGUUGCUAGGGAAGAACAAGUACCGUCCGAAUAGGUCGGUACCUUGACGUUACCUAACCAGAAAGCAACGGCUACCUACGUGCCAGCAGCCGCGGUAAUACGUAGGUGGCAAGCGUUAUCCGGAAUUAUUGGGCGUAAAGCGCGAGCAGGCGGUUUCUUAAGUAGGAUGUGAAAGCCCACGGCUCAACCGUGGAGGGUCAUUGGAAACUGGGGAACUUGAGUGCAGAAGAGGAGAGUGGAAUUCCAUGUGUAGCGGUGAAAUGCGUAGAGAUAUGGAGGAACACCAGUGGCGAAGGCGACUCUCUGGUCUGCAACUGACGCUGAGGCGCGAAAGCGUGGGGGGCAAACA
rnacentral:rRNA from 1 species